UAUAAUGUUUGACUCUUUGUCUUAUUUGAAUUUUUUAAUGAUUAAUAUUUUUAUUGUUAUUAGAUGGUAAAACAUAAAUAAUACUUUAUGCAUUAAUAAUUUUUAAAGUUUUUUUGGAAAAUUUUAAAUAAGACGGAUGGUCAAACGUUGGAUAC
rnacentral:pre_miRNA from 1 species